GCGCCCGUAGCUCAGCCCGGAUAGAGCGUCAGAUUGCGGUUCUGCAGGUCGCAGGUUCGAAUCCUGCCGGGCGCACCA
rnacentral:tRNA from 1 species